AUAACUGGCUUGCGGCAGCCAAGCGUUCAUAGCUACGUUGCUUUUUGAUCCUUCGAUGUCGGCUCUUCCUAUCAUACUGAAGCAGAAUUCAGUAAGCAUUGGAUUGUUCCACCCACUAAUAGUGAACGUGAGCUGGGUUUAUCUAUA
rnacentral:ncRNA from 1 species